UGCCUAAUACAUGCAAGUCGAGCGAAUGGAUUAAGAGCUUGCUCUUAUGAAGUUAGCGGCGGACGGGUGAGUAACACGUGGGUAACCUGCCCAUAAGACUGGGAUAACUCCGGGAAACCGGGGCUAAUACCGGAUAACAUUUUGAACUGCAUGGUUCGAAAUUGAAAGGCGGCUUCGGCUGUCACUUAUGGAUGGACCCGCGUCGCAUUAGCUAGUUGGUGAGGUAACGGCUCACCAAGGCAACGAUGCGUAGCCSACCUGAGAGGGUGAUCGGCCACACUGGGACUGAGACACGGCCCANACUCCUACGGGAGGCAGCAGUAGGGAAUCUUCCGCAAUGGACGAAAGUCUGACGGAGCAACGCCGCGUGAGUGAUGAAGGCUUUCGGGUCGUAAAACUCUGUUGUUAGGGAAGAACAAGUGCUAGUUGAAUAAGCUGGCACCUUGACGGUACCUAACCAGAAAGCCACGGCUAACUACGUGCCAGCAGCCGCGGUAAUACGUAGGUGGCAAGCGUUAUCCGGAAUUAUUGGGCGUAAAGCGCGCGCAGGUGGUUUCUUAAGUCUGAUGUGAAAGCCCACGGCUCAACCGUGGAGGGUCAUUGGAAACUGGGAGACUUGAGUGCAGAAGAGGAAAGUGGAAUUCCAUGUGUAGCGGUGAAAUGCGUAGAGAUAUGGAGGAACACCAGUGGCGAAG
rnacentral:rRNA from 1 species